UACGAAGGGGGCUAGCGUUGCUCGGAAUUACUGGGCGUAAAGGGUGCGCAGGCGGCCAUGUGUGUUGGGCGUGAAAGCCCGGGGCUUAACCCCGGAAUUGCACCCAAAACUACAUGGCUAGAGCAUUGGAGAGGGUAGCAGAAUUCCAGGUGUAGCGGUGAAAUGCGUAGAUAUCUGGAGGAACACCGGUGGCGAAGGCGGCAUCCUGGACCGACACUGACGCUGAUGCGCGAAAGCGUGGGGAGCAAACAGG
rnacentral:rRNA from 1 species